rnacentral:lncRNA from 1 species
GACAGGAAGGGGACUUUCCCAAGUGAACCUCUGCUGAGCUGGGAGGGGAAGGGCAGCAAAAACACAGGAUUUCCCCAGGCGCAGUGGCUCACUCCUGUAAUCCCAGCGCUUUGGGAGUCAGAGGCAGGCAGAUCACCUGAGGUCAGAAGUUCCAGACCAGCCUGGCCAACAUAGUGAAAUCCUGUCUCUAAUAAAAAAAAAUAUAUAUAUAUAUAUACAAAAAAUUAGCUGGGUGUGGUGGCAGGCACCUGUAACCAGUUACUUGGGAGUCCGAGGCAGGAGAAUUGCUUGAACCCAGGAGGCGGAGGUUGCAGUGAGCCGAGAUCGCACCACUGCACUCUAGCCUGGUCAACAGAGUGAGACUCUGUCUCAAAAAUAAAAUAAAACAAAAUCCAGGGUAUGUAACCAAGGAGAUCCUCUUAAAGUUAGAAAGAGGAAAAUAAGAAAAUUCUACAUAUUUAAUGCAAUACAUAAUCAACUUUCAAAAUCAAUUCCUUUCUUCUCCCUUCAACUGAACCCAUGCUGUGGCAGCCCAGCUGAAGAUAUGAACAGCGACGCCGAAUCCAUGCAGUGAUAGAAGUUGGGGUCCAGCUUCUGUAGGAUUACCUCCAAUGCCAGAGACCACCAGCUCCCAAAGAAGCCCAUUCUGGUGGCUCAAAGCCGCAGCCAACAGGACGCAGGCAUGGGGCUGCAGGGAGGUGCCUAAGCCUGGAAUGGGGAGCCCAGAAGACACCGAACUGAGGCAGGUGGGUGGUGAGGAGCGUGGAACGGGAUACAUGAGGUGGGCGGGAAGCCCCAGGCCAAAAAGAGUGAGACAUGUGGGAGAUCGUCCAGCUUCCAAAGGGACACCAGUGGAGUCCCGAGGUUACGUGUGGCUCUCAGUCACUUGUCUGACAAGUGAUGCUCUUGGCUCUUAGGGACUGGACCGGAACUCACAGACGGAGCUGCUGCAGCCAGGCCUACAUGGCCACCUUUCUGUGCACCCACAAUUGUCCAGAGAAGAGCCAUUGUCACCAAUCCCAGCCAAAGCCCAGCCAUGAGGCAUCAUCCUUUACUAGCUGGUGGGCCGCACUUAGCUUCUCUGAGCCCCAGCUUCCUCCUGGGUGCAAUGAGGCUCAAGAGAACCUCGCUCACAAGCUACUGGCAGGAUCAAAGGGAAGCAUACAUGUGAAACGCUUGCCUCCCUGCUCUUCUGGCCAUCGCUCUUGCCCAAACUGCUACCUUCCUUCACUCCAGAGAGAAGGGAGUGACCACUCGCUGGUGUCCACUGCUGGCUUCAGUCCACACGGAUUCACGCCCCAGCCCAGGGCCCGGCAUUGCAGCGCUCCAUGAGCAGUUCCCAGGCAGAUAAGUGAAUGAGCAGUUGGACGGCCUUUCAAAUGUACCCGGAAUGUGGCGUCCUUCCCUACAGUUAGGAAACGCACACACACGUCUGCACACAUACACACGCGGUCCUUGCCCUGCUGCUCAAGUGUCCACUCUCAGCCUAAACAUCACACCCAUGGAUGGCCUCACUGGCCAUGAAGCCACAUGGGCCCCACCGCACCGCCCUGGACUUCCUCAGCACAGCCCUCAUCACAAUGGAGUCAGAUGCCUGUAUAGUUCUGUAUUUGGUAGUCAUCUGUCUCCAUGACACUGUAAACUCCUGGAGGGCCGGAAUAACCACAGAAUCCCCAGCAAGGACCCAACCACGCAUCUAGUGAUGAUGCAAGAAUGAGUCAGCAGGAAUUUGAGGAGGUGGCUGCAGUCGGUCCUCUGAGCUCGGAGGGCUCCCUCUGGAAUUGUGAGGGUCUGGGUUUCAAAGAAGUGGAGAGCUCAAAGCUACCAUCAAGUGGGAAACAGGGACUUGGAAGCAAAAGGGACCGAAGCCUGCUGGGGGUGGCAGAAGGGGCUUGAGGCCACCCGACACAGGGAGCUUGGCCCCUGCUCUGUCGCCCACGGCCAGGGAGGGAGUCUUUGUCAAGACAUCAGCUCAGAACAUAGACGGCAAAGUACGUGAGGCAGAGAGCCUCCGUGAGGAAGCACUGCCUCCUCUUCCAGCGGCUGAACAGGCUCCGUGCAAACUGAGCCCCACGGAGGGAGGGGUCCUCUCAGCUCCAGAGCCCCAGGAAACAGUGGGGCAGGCUGAAACCCAGCAGUGAGGCCCCAGGGCUGCCGGGGAGGUUCCAAGGGCCAGGCCAAUCUCCAGGGCCUGAAGUCAUGAGGUCCUGUGAGGCACCCAGAGACAACUUGUAGAGAUAAGCAGGGCCACCUGACCGGGGUGGGGUGGGGGACACCACGUUCACCCUCCUCCCCAGCAGACUCUGAAAUGGUGGCAGUAAGAAAGCGUGGGCAUCCAGCAUUUCAGGAUGGGGAGGGGCAGGCAUGCUCAUGACAGGUGAGGAGAGGCUGGAGCUCCCUCAGAACUAUUGACCAGGCCUCCCCAGCAGCGGCCCUGCAGCCAGCCCAGGGCAGCCAGCCCAAGCUCCAACCUGGCCAGGGUUGGGCAAGAUGACCCCUCCACAAGAAUUGAGAAACUCCCUGGAUAAGCUUCUACCAGAGAGUCAGGGAAGAACCAUGGAAAACAGACCUGGGCCUGUUGAUACUGGGGGAAGGCCAGUGUCCUCCAAAACUAGUGACUUUUGGGAUCUCUUACAGCUCCCUUUCUUGUGAAACCUUGCCUGUUUCCCUGCUGUUGCCAAGAGUAAAACCCACGUGUCUGUUUCCCGUCAGUGCUGCUGAACACAAUGCUGAAGCACACAAGCUCAGGGGCUUAGAGCUACACAUGCUUAUCACCUGCUACAGACUGCGCGUGUGUGCCACCCAAAUUCAGUGUUGAAAUCUUAACCCCCAAGGUGUGGUAUGAGGAGGUGGAGCCUUUGGGAGAUGAUUAGGUCAUGGGGAUGGGGCUGUCGUGAGUGGGAUUAAAGCCCUUAUGAAAGGGACUCUAGAAAGAGAACUUUCACCCCUUCCACCAGGUGAGGACACAGGGAGAAGAUGCCAGCUGUAAACCAGGAAGCGGCGCUCCCAGGCACUACAUCUGCCUUGAUCUUGGGCUUCCCAGCCUCCAGAACUGUGAGAAAGAAACAUCUGUGGUUUAUAAACUGCCCGGUCUAUGGUGUUUUGUUUCAGCAGCCCAGGCAGAGUAACACGUUACCCUACAGUUUCCAAUGACACAAGUCUGAGAUCAAGGUGUCAGCAGCUCCAUGUUCCUUUUGUUUCAGGAGAGAAUCCAUUUCCUGCCUUUUCAGCUCCUAGAUGCUGCCUGCACCCCCUGGCUGGUGGCCCCUCCUCCAUUUCCUGCCUUUUCAGCUCCUAGAUGCUGCCUGCACUCCCUGGCUGGUGGCCCCUCCUCCAUUUCCUGCCUUUUCAGCUCCUAGAUGCUGCCUGCACCCCCUGGCUGGUGGCCCCUCCUCCAUUUCCUGCCUUUUCAGCUCCUAGAUGCUGCCUGAACCCCCUGGCUCGUGGCUCCUCCUCCAUUUCCUGCGUUUUCAGCUCCUAGAUGCUGCCUGCAUCCCUUGGCUCCUGGCCCCUCCUCUGUCUUCAAGGCCAGAGGGCAGCCUCUUUAAACCUCCCUCCAGUCCUGUUCUCCGCUUCUUGCAUUGACCCUCCUGCCCUCCCUCUUUCCCUGCAUGGACCCUUACGAUGACACAUGGGGCCCGCCUGGAUAUCCAGGAAAAUCUCUCCAGCUCAAGACUCUUCAUUUAGUCACAUCUCCCGAGUGCCUUUGCCUUGUAGGGUCACAUAUCUGGGGGUGAUGCACACAUCUGGAAGGGCCAUUAUUCAGUCUACCACAGAAUGAAAAGUGGUUCCGUACUUGUUCUCAAAGUGACAGAGUGCAGAAGGCAGUGAGGGGCUUGAAUGCAGCUCCAGGAUUGUGGGGCUGAGGGCACAGGGGCCGGGGACCCAAGGAAGGGAGAGCCAUAGGCCAGUGGGAAGGAAAAGAACAGCAAGCCGGGAGCUGGGCAGAAUUGAGAAUGGCCCCAUCAUUCAGCCGGCAGGCAGCCGGGGUUCACCAGCUUGGGUAUAGGCAGGAUUGGGAAAACGUGCUCUGGAAGGCCGUCUCUACCUGCAGGGUCAUCGUCAUCGCCAUCCUUCUAAUGCCAUGGCGAAGGGAAUGACUCUGACAAGAACUCUAGAAUCCUAAGUGCAUCUGACAGGCCUUCAGGCUUGUUUCCAUUCUCUGAGACCCAGAGAGUACAUGGCUCCAAAUGGAAUGACCAAGAUUCAUGCAAAGAAUGAAAGUGAUGGACGGAGUUUAACAGCAGCUCAGGAAGGCACGCUCCCGGCCACCCUCGAUGCGGACGGCUGGAGUCUGUUUAUGUUCCUGCCAUGCGCUUGCUCAGUUGUGUAAUGGUCACUGCCGGCGCAGCUCAGACCUUUGAUCAGCUCCCGGGGACUCAGGCCUCUUUCUUCUCCUUUCUGCUGGGAAGAGCCGUUGCAACAGGGCAUUUGCGACUGACUCUUCUGGAGAUCAAGUGACAACUGGUGGGAGGGGCCGUGGCAGCACGUCUUCUGGGCGCCCUGCUUCACGUACCAUCUGAGGACACGCACAGCCUUGAGAGUGGGGGAAGCUGGGCCCAGGUCCUGCCCCUGAGUGUGCUGUGCUGCGCAUCAGUUCAAAUCCUGGGGUAGGGUGUCCGGCAGCCCUGCUGGGAUGAGAGCAGCCGCCUGGAGCCUCCGCAGCCCCAUGACUAUGUGAUACGGUUUGGCUCUGUGUCCCCACCCAAAUCUCAUCUUGUAGCCCCCAUAAUUCACACAUGUUGUGGGAGCAACCCAGUGGGAGAUGAUUGAAUCACGGGGUGGGUCUUUCUUGUGCUGUUCUCCUGACAGUGAAUGAGUCUCACGAGAUCCGAUUGUUUUAUUUUAUUUUAUUUAUUUUGAGACAGAGUCUCACUCUGUCGCCCAGGCUGGAGUGAAGUGGUGCGAUCUCAGCUCCCUGUAACUUCCGCCUCCCGGGUUCAAGCAAUUCUUGUGCCUCAGCCUCUCCAGUAAUUGGGACUACAGGUGUGUGUCACCAUGCCCAGAUAAUUUUUUGUAUCUUUAGUAGAGGUGGGGUUUUGCCAUGUUGUCCAAGCUGUUCUUGAACUCCUGAGCUCAGGCAUUCCACCCACCUCAGCCUCCCAAAGUGCUAGAAUUACAGGCAUGAGCCACCACACCCAGCCUGCAGAUUUUAAAAACGGGAGUUUCUCUGCAGAAGCUCUCUUUGCCUGCCACCAGUCAUGUAAGAUGCGACUUGCUCCUCCUUGCCUUCCUCCAUGAUUGUGAGGACUCCUCAACCAUGUGGAACUGUCAAUCUAAUGAAAUCUCUUUCUUUUGUAAAUUGCUCGGUCUCGGGUAUUCUUUAUCAGUAAUGUGAAAAUGGACUAACACACUGUGUUUCACUUAAACCAAGAUGGUAGGGGCUGCCAGCCUACCGCAGGAUCUGGCAAUUCCUGAAUGCUAGUGUCUAUAUAUCCAAGAAUCAGUUUC